rnacentral:rRNA from 1 species
CAUGUCUUUUUGAUUAUUAUAGAAAGUCUGAUCUGCUCAAUGAGGAUUUAAAUUGCCGCAGUAUUUUAACUGUGCAAAGGUAGCAUAAUAAUUAGUUUUUUAAUUGGGGGCUUGUAUGAAUGAUUGGACAAGAAAAUGACUGUCUUUUUAAAAUUAAUUUUUGAAUUUUAUUUUUAAGUUAAAAAGCUUAGAUUUUUAUAAAAGACGAGAAGACCCUAUAGAGUUUAAUAUUUUUAGUUAUUAAAUAUUAGAAUAUAUUUUUGCAAAUAAAUAUUUAGUUGGGGUGACUUGAAGAUUAAUAAAAUUCUUUAAAAAUUUUGUUAUUGAUUAUUAAAUUUUUAAUCUAGUUUUUAAAUAUAAAAUAAAUUACCUUAGGGAUAACAGCGUAAUUUUCUUUGUAAGUUCUUAUUUAAAGGAAAGUUUGCGACCUCGAUGUUGGAUUAAAAUAGAUUUUUGGUGCAGGAACUUAAAAAUUAGGUCUGUUCGACCUUUAAAAUUUUACAUGAUCUGAGUUUAGACCGGCGUGAGCCAGGUUGGAUUCUAUCUUUAAAAAUCUCCUAUAUUUUAGUACGAGAGGACCAAAUUUAAAU